rnacentral:rRNA from 1 species
UGGAGAGUUUGAUCCUGGCUCAGAUUGAACGCUGGCGGCAUGCCUUACACAUGCAAGUCGAACGGUAACAGGUCUUCGGAUGCUGACGAGUGGCGAACGGGUGAGUAAUACAUCGGAACGUGCCUAGUAGUGGGGGAUAACUACUCGAAAGAGUGGCUAAUACCGCAUGAGAUCUACGGAUGAAAGCAGGGGAUCGCAAGACCUUGUGCUACUAGAGCGGCUGAUGGCAGAUUAGGUAGUUGGUGGGAUAAAAGCUUACCAAGCCGACGAUCUGUAGCUGGUCUGAGAGGACGAUCAGCCACACUGGGACUGAGACACGGCCCAGACUCCUACGGGAGGCAGCAGUGGGGAAUUUUGGACAAUGGGCGAAAGCCUGAUCCAGCAAUGCCGCGUGCAGGAUGAAGGCCUUCGGGUUGUAAACUGCUUUUGUACGGAACGAAAAGCUUUGGGUUAAUACCCUGGAGUCAUGACGGUACCGUAAGAAUAAGCACCGGCUAACUACGUGCCAGCAGCCGCGGUA